AUGCCAACAGUAUGUACAUUUGCAAAAAGUAGAACCAACAAUUUGGACGACUACUCUAUCUUCCAGGUCAAAAUGCAAAUGCAUAUGAGGAGGACGACGAGCGGACGACAAAGCCUUGCCUCGCUGCUCGCCGCUACCGCGCCCGACUGCCGCCACCCCGUUGGUGAAGAGGCGGCGCUGGCGGUUGCGGACGGUGACAGCGCGGCCCUCGGCGAGGACGUGGGGGAGGUAGGCGUUCUCGACAAGUGCGUGGUGGCGGUGGUGGAAGGUGGCGCCGCGGAA
rnacentral:lncRNA from 2 species